AUUAGGGUUCACCAGGAGUGGAUAAACGGCCAAUGGAUUUGCUCCAAUUGAUCAAUUUACGUUUCAAUUGAUGAAUUCGUGCAAGGAAUCGUGGAUAGAUUUCUUGUUGUGGGUUUUAAUUUGAAUCUGUUAGAGAAUGGAAGAUGUGAACUGUGUCUUUUGUUGUUUAUACAUUUAAUUGUACUUCCAUUUGCUUAUUCUGCUGAUUCAA
rnacentral:lncRNA from 1 species